CGGGAAGACCUGCGCGACAUGUGGCCAAAGGGGUGGGGCCUGGGCUGUCGCGAAAUCCUUCACGCUUUACGAAGGGCUACGCGCGGACGAGGGGGCGGGUUUCACGAUCUGCCGACUUCCUGCCAGUGGGGUCUGUGGAUAAAUGAGAAAGGAAUCGUGAAGUACUCUCUAAUAGACAAAUCAAAGGAACCCAGGGUAUUCCAACUGGAGAGCCGUAUGGAGGAGAACCAAGGCACCUGGCUGACAGCUCCAGCUAACCACCUCUGAUGUGCAUGAGGCCAUCUUGGACCAUCCUGGCCCAGAUGACUGCAGACACAAUGAGCAUCUCCAGGUGAACUUGACUGGGCUAAGAGAUGCCCACAUCCAUGGUGAAACAUUAUUUCUGGGUGUGUUGGCGAGGGUGUUUUUGGAAGAGAUUGGCAUUUGAUUCAGUGUACGGAAUAAAGAAGAUUCCCCUCACCGGGACAGGACUGGAGUCCUGACAGUUCCCAGACUCUGCAUUAUCACCCAAGGAAUCUAGCUUCUAGGAUCAGCCCAGUGUAGAAGAAGAAACAGAAAUGGAGACAGAACCCUGCUCCCAUCAGUCCUUCCACACAGCAAGCCAGGAGGUCAGAGAUCCCCCCUCAGCUGGUGCUGUUGGCUCAGCCAGCCCAGGAGUCCCUGGAGCGAAGAUCUGGAAUCUGUGGGACUGAGGGAACCUCAGUGUGGGGACUCGCAGACAUUGGGUCCACACUUGGCCAGGGGUUCUGUCCACAGUAAAGCUUGGACCUCAAAGCCUUUCCUGCCUUUCGGGUAGCACAGGACAGGAUGAACUGUUCUGGGCCAGAGUGUCUGGCAUCACCCAGGGAAGGGUUCGGGUAACUGUAUGCACCUGACCUCUCACCUCAGCCUCAAGAGCAAAGGGGAUGGUUUGGAACCAGCUCACUGGGUCCCUGGGGACACUGCAGAGGCUCAGUCCAUCUACAGAGGUGCCCCAGAGUAUCCCCUCCCUCUCCUUGUGAUCCCCAAACCCAGGCUUCACUGACCCCCACUUUUCCUACCCUCUCCUCCUCCCUCAGGGGUCAGGUCUUGGGAAGAGUCCACUGGAAUGCCAAGCCACACUGAGUCCUGGGGUCUCGGAGAAUGUCUCAGAGACAGGGGGAUGGAGGCAGUGACGUCUCCAGGAUUGUUCCUGUAGGGGCAUUGGCUGGACUCUUCGGCUUCUGUCUCUGGGAAUCGGGGACUGUGCAGUUUAGAGCUGCUCUCACAGGAAGGGAUUCAUCCUUCUCUUUGUCCCAAGGCAGGCCGCUUGCCUUUCUUCAUCUCCUGGUUCCCCUCCCCCCACCCCUACCUAUCCAUUUCUCCUUCAGGACAGGGCUGGAAAGAUGGGGGAUGCCAGACUCAGCUCUGAGCUUCGUGCAGGGGUGCUGUCUGCAGACCCUUCUGUCCUUGGGCAGGGGUGUAAUUUGGCCCCUCUAUGGCUCUGGAACCAGAGAUGCCUCCAUAUAUCUCUAUCUCUCUAUCUCUAUCUCUAUCCCUAUAACUAGCAUGCUUCCAAAUGUCAAGGAAGAGGAGGUAUUUUCAUAUUAUUAAAUUGAUGUCCCCCCCUCCAUGAUCCCUAGGUCCUCUCCAAAAAUGGCCCCUGCUUUACUUCUGGAAGGGGAUUUCUCUGUGGAUCCAGGCAAGUGACUCUCCAAGCCCUGACUUAUGGUGCUCCCAUCACCACUCCCUGCCCCCAUCCUCUGCCCACCUACAUUCCACUCAUCCUUAGCUAUCAGCAAGAUGCCCACCACCUCCAGGAAGCCCCCCACCCCUUCCCCUGCAUGCCCUCCUUCUCUGUAUUUCUUGGUGCAGCUCUCCUUUCUGGUGACAAAACAGGGCAGACUCUGCUGGACCUUGGUCCCCUGUGGCUUCCUGUGGAUGGGUUAGUCCGGUUUGCCUGGCCACACUUUACACUCCUCAAGGGCAGC